AACGAGGCCGACCUGCGGCUGAGUUACCUGCGGAAGGAUCAUUACCUAGAGUUGUAGGCUUUGCCUGCUAUCUCUUACCCAUGUCUUUUGAGUACCUUACGUUUCCUCGGUGGGUUCGCCCGCCGGUUGGACAAAACUUAAACCCUUUGUAGUUGCAAUCAGCGUCUGAAAAAACUUAACAGUUACAACUUUUAACAAUGGAUCU
rnacentral:misc_RNA from 1 species